rnacentral:rRNA from 1 species
GAAGAACGCUGGCGGCGUGGAUUAGGCAUGCAAGUCGAACGGUAGGGUUCCUUCGGGGACCUGAGAGUGGCGAACGGGUGAGUAACACGUAGGUAAUCUACCCUCAAAUCGGGGACAACCCAGGGAAACUUGGGCUAAUACCGGAUGAGUGCGCUUUCGGGUGCAUAAAAGGUGGCGUAAGCUGCUGUUUGGGGAUGAGCCUGCGCUCUAUUAGUUAGUUGGUGAGGUAACGGCUUACCAAGGCGAUGAUAGAUAGGCGGCCUUAACGGGUGGUCGCCCACACUGGGAUUGAGAUACGGCCCAGACUCCUACGGGAGGCAGCAGUCGAGAAUAGUCUACAAUGGACGAAAGUCUGAUAGUGCGACGCCGCGUGAACGAAGAAGCCCUUCGGGGUGUAAAGUUCUUUUAUAUGUGAGCAAUGCUUCCUAGGUGAAUAGUUUAGGGAGAGAGAUAUUAGCAUAUGAAUAAGCAACGGCUAACUCCGUG